GACGAACGCUGGCGGCGUGCUUAACACAUGCAAGUCGAACGGACAGGCCCUGCUUUUGUUGGUUGCUCGAGUGGCGAACGCGUGAGUAACACGUGUGUAACCUCCCCUUGACUUUCGGAUAACUUCUGGAAACUGCGGCUAAUACCGCAUAUGAUCUCCUGCUGCAUGUUGGGGGUUGGAAAGUUUCGGCGGUUGGGGCUAUACUCGCUGCUUAUCCGCUUGUUGGUCGGGUAGUUGCUUACCAAGGCUUUGACGGGUAGCCUACCUGAGAGGGUGAACGGGCACAAGGGGACUGAGAUACGGAGCAGAAGCCAACGGGAGGCAGCAGGGGGGAGUAUUGCACAGUGGGGGGAAGUCAGAGGCAAAAAAGUCGCGUGCGGGAUGACGGGUUACGGGGGGUAAACAGAUGUCGACUGUGAUGAAGAGGGAGUGACGGUAAUGGGUAAAGAAGCAACGGCUAACUACGUG
rnacentral:rRNA from 1 species